AGUGAACGCUGGCGGCAGGCCUAACACAUGCAAGUCGAACGGCAGCACAGGAGAGCUUGCUCUCUGGGUGGCGAGUGGCGGACGGGUGAGGAAUACAUCGGAAUCUACUCUGUCGUGGGGGAUAACGUAGGGAAACUUACGCUAAUACCGCAUACGACCUACGGGUGAAAGCAGGGGAUCUUCGGACCUUGCGCGAUUGAAUGAGCCUAUGUCGGAUUAGCUAGUUGGCGGGGUAAAGGCCCACCAAGGCGACGAUCCGUAGCUGGUCUGAGAGGAUGAUCAGCCACACUGGAACUGAGACACGGUCCAGACUCCUACGGGAGGCAGCAGUGGGGAAUAUUGGACAAUGGGCGCAAGCCUGAUCCAGCCAUACCGCGUGGGUGAAGAAGGCCUUCGGGUUGUAAAGCCCUUUUGUUGGGAAAGAAAUCCAGCUGGCUAAUACCCGGUUGGGAUGACGGUACCCAAAGAAUAAGCACCGGCUAACUUCGUGCCAGCAGCCGCCGUAA
rnacentral:rRNA from 1 species